GAUCAAUAGCAGCACUGUAGGGACGUUGUGUUCUUAAGCGCUUGUCAGAAACAAUUAAUGCUUCAUCAGGCCCAGGAGAUGAGAACAUGCUCUUGUUCCUGAAACCACAGCGUCCUGUCCUGCAUGUAAUAAUUUGCAAUAUGUUGUCUCCGUCACUUGGAAGGAGUCAUUUUUCCGCAGCAUCAGUGCUUCCCCUGGGAAUUCCUUUCCUUCAGGUGCCCAUUUUACAAGUUUGGAAAAGUCUAAUUCAGGAAAUGUCUCCUAAUGUGGUUCUUGGUAAACACUGUAUUCUUUCAGUCUAAUACAGCUAAGAUUAAGAUGAUUU
rnacentral:lncRNA from 1 species